AUUCCAGCUCCAAUAGCGUAUAUUAAUGUUGUUGCAGUUAAAAAGCUCGUAGUUGGAUUCCUGGUCGGAACGCCGGUCCGGCUCCGCAAGGGGUCGUGUAUUGGUUUCUCCUGCCAUCCUCAGGGGGAGCUGCGCUGGUAUUCAUUUAUCGGCGUGGUUACGCCUGUCGUUUACUGUGAACAAAUUAGAGUGUUCAAAGCAAGGUGUACUUGAAUACAUUAGCAUGGAAUAAUAAGAUAGGACUUUGGUGGUUCUUUUUGAUAUUUUGUUGGUUUGCACGCCAAGGUAAUGAUUAAUAGGAGCAGUUGGGGGUAUUCGUAUUCAAUUGUCAGAGGUGAAAUUCUUGGAUUUAUAGAAGACGAACUACUGCGAAAGCAUUUACCAAGGAUGUUUUCAUUA
rnacentral:rRNA from 1 species